rnacentral:rRNA from 1 species
AGUCGAACGAGAAUCUCUAGCUUGCUAGAGAGGACAGUGGCGGACGGGUGAGUAAUGUGUAGAGAAUCUGCCCUUGAGCGGGGGACAACAGCUGGAAACGGUUGCUAAUACCCCAUAUGAGGUAAGUUGAAAUACUUAUCUUGAAAACUCCGGUGCUCAAGGAUGAGUCUGCAUCUGAUUAGCUAGUUGGGGGUGUAAUGGACCACCAAGGCGACGAUCAGUAGCUGGUUUGAGAGGAUGAUCAGCCACAAUGGGACUGAGACACGGCCCAUACUCCUACGGGAGGCAGCAGUAGGGAAUUUUGCGCAAUGGGGGAAACCCUGACGCAGCAACGCCGCGUGAACGAUUAAGCCCUUCGGGGUGUAAAGUUCUGUCAGCAGGGACGAAUAAUGACGGUACCUGCAGAGGAAGCACCGGCUAACUCCGUGCCAGCAGCCGCGGU